UACAGAGGGUGCGAGCGUUGUCCGGAAUCACUGGGCGUAAAGGGCGCGUAGGUGGCCCGACAAGUCAAUGGUGAAAGUUCGACGCUUAACGUCGAAUCGGCCACUGAUACUGUUGGGCUGGAGCACUGUAGAGGCUCAUGGAAUUCCGGGUGUAGCGGUGGAAUGCGUAGAGAUCCGGAAGAACACCGGUGGCGAAGGCGGGUCUCUGGGCAAUUCCUGACGCUGAGGCGCGAAAGCGUGGGGAGCAAACGGG
rnacentral:rRNA from 1 species